GGUCUCUAACAAAUGUAAUUUGCAAAAUUACACAAGCACUAGUUGCAGAGAUCU
rnacentral:tRNA from 1 species